rnacentral:rRNA from 1 species
UUCUACGGGAGGCAGCAGUGAGGAAUAUUGGUCAAUGGGCUUACGCCUGAACCAGCCAAGCCGCGUGAGGGAUGAAGGUACAGAGUAUCGUAAACCUCUUUUGUCAGGGAACAAAGGCGGGGACGCGUCCCCGGAUGAGUGUACCUGAAGAAAAAGCAUCGGCUAACUCCGUGCCAGCAGCCGCGGUAAUACGGAGGAUGCGAGCGUUAUCCGGAUUUAUUGGGUUUAAAGGGUGCGCAGGCGGUCUGUUAAGUCAGCGGUCAA